UGGGGAAUAUUGGUCAAUGGGCGAGAGCCUGAACCAGCCAAGUCGCGUGAAGGAAGACUGCCUUAUGGGUUGUAAACUUCUUUUAUACAGGAAUAAAAAGGCUUACGUGUAGGCCAUUGCAAGUACUGUAUGAAUAAGCAUCGGCUAACUCCGUGCCAGCAGCCGCGGUAAUACGGAGGAUGCGAGCGUUAUCCGGAUUUAUUGGGUUUAAAGGGUGCGCAGGCGGGCUUUUAAGUCAGCGGUGAAAUCUGGACGCUUAACGUCCAAACUGCCGUUGAAACUGGGAGUCUUGAGUAUGGAUGAAGUAGGCGGAAUUCGUUGUGUAGCGGUGACAUGCAUAGAUAUAACGAGGAACUCCGAUUGCGUAGGCAGCUUACUAAGCCAUAACUGACGCUCAUGCACGAAAGCGUGGGGAUCAAACAGGAUUAGAUACCCUGGUAGUCCACGCCGUAAAACGAUGAUUACUAGUUGUAUGCGAUAAUGAUAGUAUGUGACUAAGCGAAAGCGAUAAGUAAUCCACCUGGGGAGUACGCCGGC
rnacentral:rRNA from 1 species